GUGCCAGCAGCCGCGGUAAAACGUAGGACGCGAGCGUUAUCCGGAGUUACUGGGCGUAAAGGGCGGGCAGGCGGCUUGCUAAGACUGGUGUGAAAUGUCCCGGCUCAACCGGGAAGGGCCACUGGUGACUGGCGAGCUGGAGGGCGGUAGAGGAGCGUGGAAUUCCGGGUGGAGUGGUGAAAUGCGUAGAGAUCCGGAGGAACACCAGAGGCGAAAGCGGCGCUCCGGGCCGUACCUGACGCUGAACCGCGAAAGCCAGGGGAGCGAACGGGAUUAGAUACCCUGGUAGUCC
rnacentral:rRNA from 1 species